UGAGAGAAAAGACGCUGACGAGAAGCGAAGAAGAAGCAGAAUUCCAGCACAUUCCCUCAGAGCUCAGAGUCAACAUGAGAACAGAAGGCAGGAUGUUGCUGAUCACAGAAGCAGACGGGCCCCAGCUGAGGAUCUUAAGGCUGCAGCGACAUCACACAGGCGCUUUAAACAUGAUAAGGAAAAUCAAAAAGUCAAUUCUAAAGCAAACAUCCUAACGGAGAGAAGCCGGGAAUGAGGUGGUGCCGACUAUUAAAACCAGUAAGACACACAAAUACACCAUUAAGAAAGACAAUCUUGCUGCAGAACCCUGAAAGUGAUGCGACGGAGCGUGAGAUCGUGUCCCGGCUGCAGGCGCAGAGACGACCAGCCGGGGUUUCACCGCUUCAGCUGCUGAUUCAACUUGAUUUAAUUAGAUUUCAUUUUACUUACUAAUGUGAUUUCAUUUGGCACAUUUGAUGCGUGUGGCCUUCGUCCAUAUCCUGCUUCGGUUCACCGGACAGUUCAGGAUGUGUGUGUGUGUGUGUGUGUGUGUGUGUGUGUGUGUUUGUGUGUUAUACCAUUAGCUUUGUGAAGACCAUAUUGAGCCUAGAACCUACAGAGUGAGGACUCUUUCAAAUGGCUGUUUGAGGGUUAAGACUUGGUUUUAGGGUUAGAGUGAGAACUAUCGGGUCAGGCAUUUAGUUGUGAUGGUUAAGGUUCUAGGGAAUGUAUCACACCAAUGAGCCAAUGUCCUCACUAAGAUGGAAGUACAAGGUUCUCUGUGUGUGUGUGUGUGGGUGUAUUACCCAUAUUGUGAGGACCUGAAUCUGUUUACAGUCACAUUAUGAGGACAAAAUCAAGUCCCCAUUAAGUAGAUGAUAACAUUUUAAGUUUAACAGAAGGUUAGAUCUAGGUUAGGAUUAGGUUGAGGUUGAGUAAAGGUAAAAAAGAUAGGUUAAGGUUUAUGGUUAAGGUUAGACUAAGUCUCCAGGAAAUGUAUGUAAGUGAACAUAGUGUGUGUGUGUGUGUGUGUGUGUGUGUGUGUUUGUGUGUGUGCGUGGCAAACUACUGUACGCAGUCACAAGCCCAAAUGGGUCACACCCGCCUGCUCCUUUCAGGCUCUCAUUUGCUCUUGUGUGUUUUAAUGAGCUUUGGUUUUUUCGAGGGUAUAAGCGACAACAGUUUUGGUUCCCAAAUAAUGGCCGUACCAGUGAGUGUGCUCUAAUGAGUCCCACAGCGAGACGGUGAAUUUACUCAGUGUCCUCGGAUGCAGAUGCGUUACCAGGCGGUGUAUCAGCUCGCUCUCGGCCGUGUGUGCGUCUGCUUGUAUCAGUGGUGUGUAUGGUUUUUUAUUUAUAUCACGUUUGUCAUGCACGACGCCCUUCCACCUCGCAGCUCACUUACAGCCGACAAAUUUGAGAGUGUGUAUAAUAACCUACCCUCGACUCAACUCCUGACUACAUGGCUGAGGGCGAGUUUUUAAGACAACAGAGCUGGGUAAUAUCGCCUGGAGCAACUCUCUCACCGCGCCUCUCUUCCUCUCAGUGUGUGAGGGCCUUUGUGUGUGUGUGAGAGCAAUUCUAAUAAAUCACUAUCUCUGCUGCGAGACCAUUUUUCCCCCAUAACCGCCUCCUUCAUAAAGUCACAAACAUCGAUCGCUUCUGCAGAGGGCAUGCAUGUCAGGUGCACACAACCACACACACAUGCACACACACACACACGCACACCUGCAGAUGGAAAGAAAAACAUCUCCUGCCUAAUUAGCAAAGCACCACAGUUGAUCUUCUUCUUGCUGUGGCAUUC